UGUGGUGAUAAUGGCGAGGAGGUACACCUGUUCCCAUUCCGAACACAGAAGUUAAGCUCCUCAGCGCCGAAAGUACUUAGAUGGAAGCGUCUCGGGAGGAUAGGUCGUCGCCACAU
rnacentral:rRNA from 1 species